AACUUUCCAAAGAUGGAUUGGUGCCUUCGGGAACUGUGAGACAGGUGCUGCAUGGCUGUCGUCAGCUCGUGUUGUGAAAUGUUGGGUUAAGUCCCGCAACGAGCGCAACCCUUAUCCUUUGUUGCCAGCGGUCCGGCCGGGAACUCAAAGGAGACUGCCAGUGAUAAACUGGAGGAAGGUGGGGAUGACGUCAAGUCAUCAUGGCCCUUACGACCAGGGCUACACACGUGCUACAAUGGCGCAUACAAAGAGAAGCAAUCUCGCGAGAGCUAGCGGACCUCAUAAAGUGCGUCGUAGUCCGGAUUGGAGUCUGCAACUCGACUCCAUGAAGUCGGAAUCGCUAGUAAUCGUGAAUCAGAAUGUCACGGUGAAUACGUUCCCGGGCCUUGUACACACCGCCCGUCACACCAUGGGAGUGGGUUGCAAAAGAAGUAGGUAGCUUAACCUUCGGGAGGGCGCUUACCACUUUGUGAUUCAUGACUGGGGUGAAGUCGUAACAAGGUAGGCGUAGAUGA
rnacentral:rRNA from 1 species